rnacentral:lncRNA from 1 species
CUCUGGUUCAGCUUACUUUUGAGAAAUGUGGUGUAGACACUGGCCUAGCAGGCGGGGCCAGGGUUCCAGAACCGGUUUCACUGCCUCGAGCAGGUGCUUUCCCUCUCUGGCCUCAGCGGCGUGACCUGUCCUUUCCACGAGGCUUUCCAGCCCCUCAUUCCACAACUCCUUAGCAGCGGCCAGGCUGGUCCCUCAGCCUCACAGCCGUGAAACGUGUGCCCCUGUCUCUCCCCUUUCCAACACAGCCGGCCCUGGCCUCUCAGCCCUGCACGCUGCUCAUCUCCCCCCUCUUGGCAAAGUCCUGCUCGAGCCCCAUCUCUGCCAGGACCUCUUUCUGGUGCCUCAGUCCACAGGACUUCCCUCUUCCCUGUCCUCGGCCCUGCCACGUGCCUCCGCUGCCGUCGACCACCAUGUGUCCUCGUGGACAUGCACCGCCCCCUACACGAUGAGGGGCCACAGCCUCCACUUUUGAUGCGUGUCUCUGUGCAUUCUGUAGUGCCACACCAGCACAAUAGCACCGUGGGGCUGCAACCUCAGGGAGGCUCUUACAAGUCCAAGAAGAGCAUCCAGACAGACGAAGGAGCUCCAAGGUGGAGAGGCCAGAGCAAGGCUGGGCUUGAGUCUUGAGGAAGUGAGAGCUGCGGGUGCCCUGCUGGGUCCUCCACAGUUUGGCCUCGCUUCCGGAGUGCCUCACGGGGCCGUUCUUCCCCAGGUCGCCAGUGUCGCUGACCCUCUGCACCUCUGCCCAGACUUCUUCAUCUCGGUUGCUUCGUGGCUGGCCCCUCACCCCCUGAUCAGGCCAGGCAGUGAGGACCGAGUCUCAGUUCUUCUGUUCCCUCCCUCCCCACACACAAGUCCACCAACAAGGCCCACCAAUUCCGACUACAAAGUAUACAUUAAAUUUGUCCCUUCCUCUCCAUCUCCAUUGUGUGGCUGUCAUCUCUCACCUGAGUCUCUGUAAUGCCCUUCUCCUGGUCCCCCUGCUGCCACGCUUGGCUCUCAUAAUCAAUUCUCAAGGGAGUGGACCCAGUGACUUUCUUUAAAUGUGAGCCAGAUCCAGUCCCUGUGCUGCUCAGAACCCUCAGGGGGUUCCCACAGCCGAGAGUAACCCCCUUCACAGCAGCAAGGCCCUGGUGACCCUCCAAACACGCCUGGGGCCUCUCUGCCUCGUGCCCUAAACCCCAAGCUCACAAACACUGCAGGUGCUCCUGUCUCAGGGCCUUGGCCCCACUAUUCCUACUUCCCAGCCACUCCCUAGGGCUCCCACCUGCUCGCCCUUCAGACCUGGGAGCUGCCACCUCCUCCAGGGGCCUUUCCUGCCCCCAAGCCCUGCCCAGUUCCUCUCCGAGCCCGUCUUGCUCACUAGACCCGAAGUCCCAUGAAGGCAGGGACAGACUUGUCUUCUUAUUCUGUCCCCAGCAUCUACACAUAAAGCCUUUGACUGAACCAAUCGACCAGUGGAACCCAAGCCUGGAGAAGCAGCCUCUGCCCACAAGGCGG